rnacentral:tRNA from 1 species
UGGAAGGUGGCUCAGUGGUAGAGUGCUUGCCUUGCAUGCAUGAGGCCCUGGGUUUGAUUCCUCAGCAUCACAU